UACUCUGGGGAUAACAGGCUUAUCGGGCUCGAGAGUUCACAUCGACAGCCCGGUUUGGCACCUCGACAUAUAGGGGUGGUUCGGGAGUAAUCUCGGACAUGUAUUGGCUAAUAACGGUGGAGCCCAAGAAGGAGGGUAAUACCGUGGGAAGUCGAUAGGAUAUAAGCAGUUAUUCUAAAGGUUUUUUCUCUUGGUGACAGGUUCAAAAACGAUAUCUUCUGAUAUAGAAAUCCGAAAAUAUGACUAUCUGAAAGUGUUUCCUGUAUCAGGGUAUCGUGAACGUAUGUCACCUUGGGAAAACCAUAUUCUAUCUGACCCCGUAACGACUGAGCCUCCGCUGUUUCAUCUGUGAAACAAUACGCGGAGGCGAGAUAGCAGGUAUUUUUUUACUGCUAUCAUACGCCAACCCCCCGCUGAUUUGCUUACUGCUUGCGCAAAUCAAUAGGCGGGGGUGAAGAUAUAGUCUAAUCCCACACGAAAGUGUGGAGCAAUUGCGAUGUCGGCUCAUCCUAUCCUGGGGCUGUAUAAGGUCCCAAGGGUCCGGCUGUUCGCCGGUUAAAAGGGUACGCGAGCUGGGUUCAGAACGUCGUGAGACAGUAAAUUGACCGUUGCUGUCUUUAAAUCUGGCUAUAUGCUGGAAAAUCUGGGGUAUCCCAUAUUACUACUUGACGAUUAGUCGCUAUGUUUUAUGAUAGAUCGAAAGGAGUAAUAAUAUAUGGGUGCAGACAACCAGCAGGAAAGGCCGCGCGGGAUUGCAUCUUACUACAUAAGCGGUUUUGUUGAUGGAGAAGGGUGUUUUUCUGUAACAGUGCAGAGAAGCCGAAAUGUGAAACUCGGGAUACAAGUGAUUCCUGAGUUCCAUGUUUCACAGCAUCAAAACAGAACUGAAGUCCUCGACGCCAUGCAUGCAAAGUUUGGCUGUGGUUACGUCAAACCAAACCAUGCUGCAAACACGCGUGACUUGACUUCAGUGUAUGUUGUUAGAAAUAUCAAAGACCUCCGUAAUAAAAUCGUGCCGUUCUUUAGGAAGUAUCCGCUUAUUUCUAUCAAACAGCGAGAUUUUGAAAAGUUUGCUGAGGUGAUAGAAAUGAUGGAGAAAAAGCUGCACCUGACUAAAGAGGGUUUAAUUAAAAUAUUGGAGCUUGCGUUCUCCAUGAAUGCGAGCGGUCGAUAUCGAAAAUUAAGGUUAGAAGAUGUGAUUGCCGUAGUGGAAUCCUCAGAGACUGUAUGCCAGACGUCUGCCUAAGCAGAUAAAGAUACAGUCCGAACUGCAUAGCGAUAUGCAGAGACAGGCAGAAAUGUCCUGUCCUCCGCUUUGUGCGGAAGUAACAUUAUUGUCGGUCUCUAUCUGAUGUGGGCGUUAGGAUAUUUGAAGGGGAGUUCUCUUCAGUACGAGAGGACCUAGAGAAACGAACCUCUGGUGUUCCAGCUGUCCCGCCAGGGGCAAAGGUUGGGUAGCUAUGUUCGGAAGGGAUAAGCGCUGAAAGCAUCUAAGUGCCAAGCCCACCCCAAGACGAAAUAUCCCUGUACCGCAAGGUACUGAAGGCUGGUUGUAGACCACAACCUUGAUAGGCGCAUUGUGUAAGGGCUGUGAGGCCUUAAGCUAACGCGUACUAAUCAGCCAAUCGGCUUGGCCUU
rnacentral:rRNA from 1 species